rfam:Cohnella sp. VKM B-2846 B2846_13, whole genome shotgun sequence.
GAAAGCCGGAUGAGGGAAAACCUCACGUCCGGUUUGAUGCAGGGGGAGCUGGAAAAGUAAAAGGAGGGUACCUACCCUCC